rnacentral:rRNA from 1 species
GACGUAGGGCGCGAGCGUUGUCCGGAUUUAUUGGGCGUAAAGAGCUCGUAGGCGGCUUGUUGCGUCGGCUGUGAAAACUCGCGGCUUAACUGCGGGCUUGCAGUUGAUACGGGCAGACUGGAGUACUGCAGGGGAGACUGGAAUUCCUGGUGUAGCGGUGGAAUGCGCAGAUAUCAGGAGGAACACCGGUGGCGAAGGCGGGUCUCUGGGCAGUAACUGACGCUGAGGAGCGAAAGCGUGGGGAGCGAACAGG